GAGCUGCAGUGGCAAAAAUCCAUCUGCUGAGGGAAUGCUGGAUUUAAAAAAAAAAAAAAAAAAAAAUCAAUCCACGUACACGGCAAGCAUUAAAAAUGCUGGCAUUAAAAGCUGCCGAUCUAUUUAGAUGCUCUUUUUUAAAUAGAUUAUUUAUUUCUUUCCUUUUAAGAGGGGAAGUUUAGCAUCCCCCCACUCACGAUCAGUUCCCUGUUGCCCCCAUCCACACGGACAUACCUGCACAAGCAGGGGAGGAAGGUGUGUUUGCCUUAUUGUAUUUCCCAGUGGCUUGAGCAGAAUUAGUGUCAGGGUGUCAAGCGAGUAGCAAUUUGAGGUAAUUAUUUUGCACGCCAUUUUUAUCGUUGCUUUAAAUGCAUUUCUUCCUCCCCUGCAAUCUACAGUAUUUCGUGCUGGGUUUAGUCUCUUGCUGGCUUUCUCUAUGCAAUGAAGAAGCGUGGAUUAUUACAUUAUAUAUACUUACAUAUAUAUAUAUAAAAUUCAGAUGAUCACAGAGAAGAAAAGGGGGUAGGGAGGAGGGGAUUGCUGCACUGUUAGCAAUUCACAGCACCUACUGACUACAGCGUCACCCCUAAGGAGAGGAGGAGAAGGGUGAAACUGACAGCUGUGCAUUCUGAUAUUCUUAUCUACACACAAAUAAAUCUAGUGUUCAGAAGUGGAAGGAAUUAUAGAGCCGAAAGUUCUAGGAGUCUGUGAUGAGCAAAUGUGGUGACUGAGUUGUUUCCACAGCAAGUGAAAAGUCAUGAACAAAGGUUAUUGAAAAGAUCACUGAAAAGAAGAAUUUUGAUCCCUAAGGAAAGACUUCUGGCCUUCCUCAGGAGUUCAUCUCCUUUACUCCCCUGCUGGCUGCUUUUUGGAGUCCUAGCAAGGAAGAGGACAGUACCUGUCUGCCCCAUGACAAAAGGGACUGUUGUCUCCCUUCUCUUCUGUGAUCUGUCAGGCUGUUGCCCCCAGCCAAACAUUGUCCCUCUCCAUGCAAAAAGCUACUCCUGCCAGUAA
rnacentral:lncRNA from 1 species